CAGCCGCCGCGGUAAAACGGAGGGGGCUAGCGUUGUUCGGAAUUACUGGGCGUAAAGCGCACGUAGGCGGCUUGGUAAGUUAGAGGUGAAAGCCUGGAGCUCAACUCCAGAAUUGCCUUUAAGACUGCCGAGCUAGCAGGUGAGAGAGGUAAGUGGAAUUCCGAGUGUAGAGGUGAAAUUCGUAGAUAUUCGGAAGAACACCAGUGGCGAAGGCGGCUUACUGGCUCAUACUGGACGCUGAGGUGCGAAAGCGUGGGGAGCAAACAGGAUUAGAGACCCCAGUAGUCCCUGUCUCUUAUAC
rnacentral:rRNA from 1 species